rnacentral:tRNA from 1 species
GCCCUAGUAGCUCAAUUGGCAGAGCAGCUGACUCUUAAUCAGCGGGUUAUAGGUUCGAGUCCUAUCUGGGGCA